GCGGGUAUCGUAUAAUGGUUAUUACCUCAGCUUUCCAAGCUGAUGAUGCGGGUUCGAUUCCCGCUACCCGCUCCA
rnacentral:tRNA from 1 species